rnacentral:lncRNA from 1 species
UACUAUUGCUUUCUUAAUAGUUUCACCAUUGUUUCUUACUAUUCAUAUCUUUAUAACUUUACUUGUAUGUAUAUCUGACUUAAUUUAAUGCAAUUUCUCCCAGACACUAACACAAUCACAAGUAAUUAAGUUACUAUGUUCAUGAAUGCAACUUAAUUGUUAGUGUAGCCGGGCUGUGCCUAUGUAUAAAUGCGCUGGCUACUGCGUUCUGACUUCGGUUCUGCAUUGUGUUGUGGUGCGUGUUGACAAAAGGGACACACUGCUGCCGUUUUUUGUAUUUUAAUAUUGGAUGAGAUGAAAUAACUGCAGUGAAUAGAUGCAGCACAAAGUUAUUAUGUUGCGCACACCUCUCCUCUGCACCUGAACGAGGCAAUAGUACAUACAUAGCCUAUAUCUGUCUUCAGGUUUAUUUUAAGGGUGAUUUUUUCCAUUGAAAGAAGUGUACUGUACUUAAUCUUCCACUCCACUCUUUGUGUUGCGCUCAUUGCAGUCAGAAAACAUAUGUUUGCCGAUCAAAACCCUUGCAGGUGAUGUUGCUUUCUCUCCCCAAAUCGUACGGGAAAAUAACGGAAGACUCACCCAAGAUCAGUAAUGUACAUCUGCAACUUCAAGCCAACGUAAUGCGGAGCGCGUUCCAGCUCGUCAACACAAUCGGCUGCAGGGGAGAAUCUGUGUAAUUUGACCUACAGCACAAGUGCGCAUCAUGACUUCAACUAAGAAGGCAACUUGGAACGUACCCGAUCCUCCCAUGCGAUCAUUCUCUUUCCCGGUUGAACCCCCGAUAUCCCCCACCACCCAGGGGACCAGCUUCUCCCCCAUCCUCAACCAGGUUGAACACCCAAUAUCCCCCACCACCCAGGAGACCAGCCACACCCUCAUCCUCAACCAGGGUAAACCCCUGAUAUCCCCCACCACCCAGGAGACCAGCUUCACCCACACCAAACCAAAGAAGACGGGGAGAAAGUCCUGUCUCCCUGUCACCCUCAAAAAACCCUCCAACUCGCUGAGCAUGACACAGUCAACCCCAUCCAACCCCAUCCUACCCCGACCAAGGAAGAGGAAAUAUGACUACAUGCAUAAAGUGUCCAGUGCAUCCGGGGCAAACGAUUUUCCCUAUUCUCAAGAUUCUUGCCAAUAGACCUUCAAAGGAGGUAAAUCUGCAGAACAUUGACAUUCCUGUGACUGUAUUUACAGGCUAAUCCUAGUGCAACACCAAUUGUAGUUAACUUGCAGUGCAUAGACCUUGUAGUUAGUGGCAAUAUGUAACUUUCUGGGUGGCCCGACCAAAUUCACAUAGAAAUGUUAGUUACAGAUCUCAUUCUACUUGAAAGGAAGUCUAGAAGCGGUAGAUCUCUCCUACAGUGUGCGUUAUUUCUAUGCUUCCCGUUCUUCGUUUUGUUAUUGAGUCUUUUACUUUGGUUUUGUACGCAGCUUCAAACAGCUGAUAUUAGCUACCAUGACAUUUUGGAGCGUUUCUGCAUAGUGCAGCUUUAAAAUAAAACUGUUUGUUUCAUAAAUAAGGUCAGGAGCAGAAAGUGAGGUGGAGCCAUGCUCUGGAUGGUAUGUUUUUCAACAUAUCUCCUAGAAUGUAUGAGUAUAUACUGUACAUUCAACACCAUAUGUAUUGAGGAUAUACUGUACACUCUACACCAUAUGUAUUGAGGUAUACUGUUCACUCACAAUCAAAUCAAAUUCUAUUUGUCACAUACACAUGGUUAGCAGAUGUUAAUGCGAGUGUCGCGAAAUGCUUGUGCUUCUAGUUCCGACAAUGCAGUAAUAACCAACAAGUAAUCUGCUAACAAUUCCAAAACUACUACUUAUAGAACAAAGUUUAAGGGGAUAAAGAUAUGUACAUAAAGAUAUGGUGAGUGAUGGUACAGAGCGGCAUAGGCAAGAUACAGUAGAUGGUAUUGAGUGCAGUAUAUACAUAUGAGAUGAGUAUGUAAACAAAGUGGCU